AGAGUUGAUUCUGGCUCAGAAUGAACGCUGGCGGCAUGGAUUAGGCAUGCAAGUCGAACGUACUCCCUUCGGGGAGAAAGUGGCGAAAGGGUGAGUAACACGUGAGCAACCUGCCUCCGGAUCCGGAAUAAUCCAGGGAAACUUGGUCUAAAACCGAAUGAAGACAUUGGUCCGCAUGGUCUAAUGUUAAAAUAUUUAUAGUCCGGAGAGGGGCUCGCGGCCCAUUAGCUUGUUGGCGGGGUAAUGGCCCACCAAGGCUACGACGGGUAGGUGGUCUGAGAGGAUGGUCACCCACACUGGGACUGAGACACUGCCCAGACUCCUACGGGAGGCUGCAGUCGAGAAUCUUCCGCAAUGGGCGCAAGCCUGACGGAGCGAUGCCGCGUGAGGGAUGAAGGCCUUCGGGUUGUAAACCUCUGUCAUCCGGGACGAAAACAAUGACGGUACCGGAAAAGGAAGCCACGGCUAACCACGUGCCAGCCGCUGC
rnacentral:rRNA from 1 species